rnacentral:rRNA from 1 species
GCGUAACGCGUGGGRBCGCCUUAGGUACGGAUAACAGUUAGAAAUGACUGCUAAUACCGUAUGAUGACGUAAGUCCAAAGAUUUAUCGCCUGAGGAUGAGCCCGCGUAGGAUUAGCUUGUUGGUGAGGUAAAAGCUCACCAAGGCGACGAUCUUUAGCUGGUCUGAGAGGAUGAUCAGCCACACUGGGACUGAGACACGGCCCAGACUCCUACGGGAGGCAGCAGUGGGGAAUAUUGGACAAUGGGCGAAACCCGAAUCCAGCAAUGCCGCGUGAGUGAUGAAGGCCUUAGGGUUGU